GACGAACGCUGGCGGCGUGCCUAAUACAUGCAAGUCGAACGAACCGCGACUAGGUGCUUGCACUUGGUCAAGGUGAGUGGCGAACGGGUGAGUAACACGUGGGUAACCUACCUCAUAGUGGGGGAUAACAGUCGGAAACGACUGCUAAUACCGCAUAGGACAUAGGAUCACAUGAUCCAGUGAGGAAAGGUGGCGCAAGCUAUCGCUAAGAGAUGGACCCGCGGUGCAUUAGCUAGUUGGUAGGGUAAAGGCCUACCAAGGCGAUGAUGCAUAGCCGACCUGAGAGGGUGAUCGGCCACAUUGGGACUGAGACACGGCCCAAACUCCUACGGGAGGCAGCAGUAGGGAAUCUUCCGCAAUGGACGCAAGUCUGACGGAGCAACGCCGCGUGAGUGAAGAAGGUCUUCGGAUCGUAAAGCUCUGUUGUUAGAGAAGAACAGCGCAUAGAGUAACUGUUAUGCGUGUGACGGUAUCUAACCUGAAAGCCACGGCUAACUACGUG
rnacentral:rRNA from 1 species